GGGGAAUAUUGGGCAAUGGGCGAAAGCCUGACCCAGCAACGCCGCGUGAAGGAAGAAGGUUUUCGGAUCGUAAACUUCUAUCCUAGGUGAAGAUAAUGACGGUAGCCUAGAAGGAAGCCCCGGCUAACUACGUGCCAGCGGCCGCGGUAAUACGUAGGGGGCAAGCGUUGUCCGGAAUGAUUGGGCGUAAAGGGCGCGUAGGCGGCCUUCUAAGUCCGAUGUGAAAGUCCUGCUUUUAAGGUGGGAAUUGCAUUGGAAACUGGAGGGCUUGAGUGCAGGAGAGGUAAGUGGAAUUCCCGGUGUAGCGGUGAAAUGCGUAGAGAUCGGGAGGAACACCAGUGGCGAAGGCGACUUACUGGACUGUAACCGACGCUGAGGCGCGAAAGUGUGGGGAGCAAAC
rnacentral:rRNA from 1 species